GCGAAAGUGGCGGAAUUGGUAGACGCGCAAGCCUCAGGAGCUUGUGGUCGUAAGGCCGUGGGGGUUCGAGUCCCCCCUUUCGCACCA
rnacentral:tRNA from 1 species